GACGAACGCUGGCGGCGUGCUUAACACAUGCAAGUCGAACGGAAAGGCCCUGCUUUUGUGGGGUGCUCGAGUGGCGAACGGGUGAGUAACACGUGAGUAACCUGCCCUUGACUUUGGGAUAACUUCAGGAAACUGGGGCUAAUACCGGAUAGGAGCUCCUGCUGCAUGGUGGGGGUUGGAAAGUUUCGGCGGUUGGGGAUGGACUCGCGGCUUAUCAGCUUGUUGGUGGGGUAGUGGCUUACCAAGGCUUUGACGGGUAGCCGGCCUGAGAGGGUGACCGGCCACAUUGGGACUGAGAUACGGCCCAGACUCCUACGGGAGGCAGCAGUGGGGAAUAUUGCACAAUGGGCGGAAGCCUGGUGCAGCAACGCCGCGUGCGGGAUGACGGCCUUCGGGUUGUAAACCGCUUUCGCCUGUGACGAAGCGUGAGUGAUGGUAAUGGGUAAAGAAGCACCGGCUAACUACGUG
rnacentral:rRNA from 1 species